AUACGUAGGUGACAAGCGUUAUCCGGAUUUACUGGGCGUAAAGGGCGUGUAGGCGGUCUUGCAAGUCAGAAGUGAAAUUCCUGAGCUCAACUCGGGCGCUGCUUCUGAAACUGCAGGACUUGAGUGCUGGAGGGGAUAGCGGAAUUCCUAGUGGAGCGGUAAAAUGCGCAGAUAUUAGGAAGAACACUGGUGGCGAAGGCGGCUAUCUGGACAGUAACUGACGCUGAGGCGCGAAAGCGUGGGGAGCAAACAGGAUUAGAUACCCUGGUAGUCCACGCCGUAAACGACGAAUACUAGGUGUAGGGGGUAUCGACUCCCUCUGUGCCGCAGUUAACACAAUAAGUAUUCCGCCUGGGGAGUACGGCCGCAAGGUUGAAACUCAAAUGAAUUGACGGGG
rnacentral:rRNA from 1 species